GUUGAACGCUGGCGGCAGGCCUAAUACAUGCAAGUCGAACGAGUGGCGGACUGGUGAGCAAUGUCUGGGAAACUGCCUGAUGUAGGGGGAUAACUACUGUAAAACGUAGCUACUACCGCUUACCGUCCGAUCUGGCCAGAGGGGAUUAGCUAGUAGGUGGGGUAAAGGAUCACCUAGGCGACGAUCCCUAGCUGGUCUGAGAGGAUGACCAGCCACACUGGAACUGAGACACGGUCCAGACUCCUACGGGAGGCAGCAGUGGGGAAUAUUGCACAAUGGGCGCAAGCCUGAUGCAGCCAUGCCGCGUGUAUGAAGAAGGUCUUCGGGUUGUAAAGUACUGUCAGCGGGGAGGCGUUACCCGAAGAAGAAGCACCGGCUAACUCCGUGCCAGCAGCAGCGGUAAUAC
rnacentral:rRNA from 1 species